ACGAACGCUGGCGGCGCGCCUAACACAUGCAAGUCGAACGGAGCUUAGAGAGCUUGCUUUUUAAGCUUAGUGGCGAACGGGUGAGUAACGCGUGAGUAACCUGCCCUAGAGUGGGGGACAACAGUUGGAAACGACUGCUAAUACCGCAUAAGCCCACGGUACCGCAUGGUACUGAGGGAAAAGGAUUUAUUCGCUUUAGGAUGGACUCGCGUCCAAUUAGCUAGUUGGUGAGGUAACGGCCCACCAAGGCGACGAUUGGUAGCCGGACUGAGAGGUUGAACGGCCACAUUGGGACUGAGACACGGCCCAGACUCCUACGGGAGGCAGCAGUGGGGGAUAUUGCACAAUGGGGGAAACCCUGAUGCAGCGACGCCGCGUGGAGGAAGAAGGUUUUCGGAUUGUAAACUCCUGUCGUUAGGGACGAUAAUGACGGUACCUAACAAGAAAGCACCGGCUAACUACGUGCCAGCAGCCGCGGUAAAACGUAGGGUGCAAGCGUUGUCCGGAAUUACUGGGUGUAAAGGGAGCGCAGGCGGGAAGACAAGUUGGAAGUGAAAACCAUGGGCUCAACCCAUGAAUUGCUUUCAAAACUGUUUUUCUUGAGUAGUGCAGAGGUAGAUGGAAUUCCCGGUGUAGCGGUGGAAUGCGUAGAUAUCGGGAGGAACACCAGUGGCGAAGGCGGUCUACUGGGCACCAACUGACGCUGAGGCUCGAAAGCAUGGGUAGCAAACAGGAUUAGAUACCCUGGUAGUCCAUGCCGUAAACGAUGAUUACUAGGUGUUGGGGGAUUGACCCCCUCAGUGCCGCAGUUAACACAAUAAGUAAUCCACCUGGGGAGUACGACCGCAAGGUUGAAACUCAAAGGAAUUGACGGGGGCCCGCACAAGCAGUGGAGUAUGUGGUUUAAUUCGAAGCAACGCGAAGAACCUUACCAGGUCUUGACAUCCGAUGCAUAGCACAGAGAUGUGUGAAAUCCUUCGGGACAUCGAGACAGGUGGUGCAUGGUUGUCGUCAGCUCGUGUCGUGAGAUGUUGGGUUAAGUCCCGCAACGAGCGCAACCCUUAUUGCCAGUUACUACGUUAAGAGGACUCUGGCGAGACUGCCGUUGACAAAACGGAGGAAGGUGGGGAUGACGUCAAAUCAUCAUGCCCCUUAUGACCAGGGCUACACACGUGCUACAAUGGCGUAAACAGAGGGAAGCAGCCUCGUGAGAGUGAGCAAAUCCCAAAAAUAACGUCUCAGUUCGGAUUGUAGUCUGCAACUCGACUACAUGAAGCUGGAAUCGCUAGUAAUCGCGAAUCAGAAUGUCGCGGUGAAUACGUUCCCGGGUCUUGUACACACCGCCCGUCACACCAUGGGAGUCAGUAACGCCCGAAGUCAGUGACCCAACCGUAAGGAGGGAGCUGCCGAAGGCGGGACCGAUAACUGGGGUG
rnacentral:rRNA from 1 species